rnacentral:rRNA from 2 species
AGGACGAACGCUGGCGGCGUGCCUAAUACAUGCAAGUCGAACGAACUCUGGUAUUGAUUGGUGCUUGCAUCAUGAUUUACAUUUGAGUGAGUGGCGAACUGGUGAGUAACACGUGGGAAACCUGCCCAGAAGCGGGGGAUAACACCUGGAAACAGAUGCUAAUACCGCAUAACAACUUGGACCGCAUGGUCCGAGUUUGAAAGAUGGCUUCGGCUAUCACUUUUGGAUGGUCCCGCGGCGUAUUAGCUAGAUGGUGGGGUAACGGCUCACCAUGGCAAUGAUACGUAGCCGACCUGAGAGGGUAAUCGGCCACAUUGGGACUGAGACACGGCCCAAACUCCUACGGGAGGCAGCAGUAGGGAAUCUUCCACAAUGGACGAAAGUCUGAUGGAGCAACGCCGCGUGAGUGAAGAAGGGUUUCGGCUCGUAAAACUCUGUUGUUAAAGAAGAACAUAUCUGAGAGUAACUGUUCAGGUAUUGACGGUAUUUAACCAGAAAGCCACGGCUAACUACGUGCCAGCAGCCGCGGUAAUACGUAGGUGGCAAGCGUUGUCCGGAUUUAUUGGGCGUAAAGCGAGCGCAGGCGGUUUUUUAAGUCUGAUGUGAAAGCCUUCGGCUCAACCGAAGAAGUGCAUCGGAAACUGGGAAACU